rnacentral:tRNA from 1 species
GGGGAAUUAGCUCAAGUGGUAGAGUGCUUGCUUAGCAUGUGAGAGGCAGUGGGAUCGAUGCCUGCAUUCUCCA